AUUCACUGACUGGAUGAGAAAGAGUAUUGCAUGAGAUGUUCCAACUGAAACUCUUCUGCAUCUAAAGGGAUUCCGUCUUCCAGUGAGGACAGGAGCUCCCACCAUGAUGCCAGUAAGCAUGGUGGGGGUGGCACUUCUGAGGUCAAGAAGCAAGACGAAAGCGGAGGAGAGAUGGGUUCUACUUGUCCCUGUUAGCACCUGGAAGUCCAUUGUCCUUGCCGUUCCCAUGGCAACAGAUGGAGACCUUCGUGUACUGCCAGAGUGAGCCUCCUGACUUCCAGUACUGUUUGCAUGUCAAGGGUGUUCCCAUGCGAGACAUUUGUAUAUCAGGAACUGUCUUUUUUUCUAGUAUGUCACUGCAUGCCUACCAGACUGGUACCUGGGUACUGAUUUGAAAGACUGUUUUUUUUUUUUUUUAUUUUUCAAAAAAGAUCAUAGUUUCUUACCCUUUCAAUUAAUGUACCUCAUGACUCGGGACAUAGAAAUUUGUUCCAAAGAGUGCAGCCUGAUGUUUAUGUUUGGGGGGAAAAAAUCAGUACUGUGAAACACAAGAUCAUACUUCUAAAAAACCUUGUUAAAUGGAAGAGGGAACAUGCAAAAGAGAAGUCUAAAUGGAUAAAUGUAGCCUAGUAUACCACAGAGAGAGAGGAAAAAUAAACUGUUCAGAUAGUUGAUAUGAACUGACUCUGGAAAUAUAACAAGAAAAAAAAAGCCAGGAAUAACUCCUCAAAACAUUAUACAUAGAAUCACCAUACGAUGUAGCAAUUCCACUUUAGGUGUAGACCUAGAAGAAUUGAAAGCAUGAACUUGAACAGGUUUUUGGAAUGCCCGGUACUCAUAGUGUAUAUGCAAAUGAAAUAAACCAAACAUAAAGGAUAAAUAUCCUGUACUUAUUAGAGGAGCCUAGUGUAGUCAAAUCCAUGGAGACACAAA
rnacentral:lncRNA from 1 species